GAGGGGAUAGCUCAGUGGUAGAACACGUGUUUGGCAUGCACAAGGUCCUGGGUUCAAUCCCCAGUACCUCCA
rnacentral:tRNA from 1 species